rnacentral:rRNA from 1 species
GAUGAACGCUGGCGGCGUGCCUAAUACAUGCAAGUCGAGCGAAGCGGGGACGGGUGAGUAACACGUGGAUAACCUCCUAUAAGACUGGGAUAACUUCAGGAAACCGUAGCUAAAACGGAUACUUAUAUAUGGAGCUGCGCUGCAUUAGCUAGUUGGUAAGGUAACGGCUUACCAAGGCAACGAUGCAUAGCCGACCGGAGCGGGUUGUCGGCCACACUGGAACUGAGACACGGUCCAAACGCCUACGGGAGGCAGCAGUAGGGAAUCUUGCGCAAUGGGCGAAAGCCUGACGGAGCAACGCCGCGUGAGUGAUGAAGGUCUUCGGAUCGUAAAACUCUGUUAUUAGGGAAGCGGUACCUAAUCAGAAAGCCACGGCUAACUACGUGCCAGCAGCCGCGGUAAUUC